AUCACUAUCAUGAGCAUUUUCGUUCCCAGGGCUUCUCGGCUGACUGCGUUGUUUGCAUUGAUUCAGAUACUUCCAUCUCGUUCUCAAGACCGGAGCCUCGCGACGAGGAUUGGUUUGUUUCAGAUCAGUAAAAUAUCGAGCAAUAAUUAAUACCAUAUACUCUUGAACCUUUUAUAAUACCACAAGUAACAUCACAAUACCAUUGUACUAGUGUACCACUGAUCUAAUAGUAUCACUGCACUGUACCUGAUAAUAGCACUGGGGCUAGGUAUUUAUACCGAAUUAUUUAAAGUUGUUACACAAGAUAUUUCGGCAAUUCUGGUGACUGGUUGCUCAUAAGUUGAAACGGAUCGUCACCAUAUUCCCUAUUACGAAUAUUUUCAGUACUCUUUAUUGCAUGUCUAUAUAUUACGUUCUAUUAUAUCAUUUCUACUUUUUCUAUUAUAUUGCAAUACUCCUCUUCUAUUUUCAUUCUCUACAAUAAUAUCUCAUUUCAUAUUACGGUACAGGUCUAUAGCGAAUAAAUCGAAAAAUAAAUGUAACAACUGAGUGAAGUAAAAAAUCGAAGUGAUUAUUUGGCUCUUUGUCACACGAGUAACGUGCCAGUUCGUUGGUUUCAUUCAUUCAUCCUCUUCCGGUAACACUGUUAGGCAACCAACUGCUAUCAAGGCCUGCCCUGCUUGUGUCAUUACAAAAGAAGCCAGUCCACCCACACCAAGAGAUUGAAGAAAGGCCACAAGACCGCCAGCUCCAAUACCACCCGCACCAA